rnacentral:tRNA from 1 species
GCCUGGCUGGCUCAGUCUGUAGAGCAUGGGACUCUUGAUCUUGGGGUCAUGAGUUUGAGCCCCAUGUUAGGUG